rnacentral:rRNA from 1 species
GGGGCGACGGCCCACCAAGGCGACGAUGUCUAGGGGUUCUGAGAGGAAGGUCCCCCCACACUGGUACUGAGACACGGACCAGACUCCUACGGGAGGCAGCAG